UCGAGCUUCCUAUCAGAAUCGAACUGAUGACCUUUUCAUUACGAGUGAAACGCUCUACCGACUGAGCUAAGGAAGC
rnacentral:tRNA from 1 species